GCCCCCUUCGUCUAGUGGCCCAGGACACCGGGCUUUCCGCUCGGAAACGCUCGUUCGAAUCGGGCAGGGGGUA
rnacentral:tRNA from 1 species